GGGCUUCCUGAAGGUAAUACCCGGGUAUUAGGUUAUGGGGCUUUGGAAAGUUUUAGGGUUUUUGGCAUCAGGGUUAAAAUCACUGUCCAAAAACCUUUGUAGGAACUCUUUUCCAACCUUUUGGAGUUAGGUUGACCAAAAAAAAAAAGAAAAAAGAAAAAAAAAUAUUUGGGGUGUUCGGGCUUCCUGAAGGUAAUACCCGGGUAUUAGGUUUUGGGGCUAGGGUAAGGUUUGAGGUUUUUGGCAUUAGGGUUAAAAUCACUGUCCAAAACCUUUUUAGGAACACGUUUCAGACCUUUUGGAGUUUGUACACCGAAAAAAAAAUGUAAAAUUAAAAAAAAAUAUUUGGGGUGUUCGGGCUUCCUGAAGGUAAUACCCGGGUAUCAGGUUAUGGGGCUAUGGUAAGGUUUAAGGUUUUUGGCGUUACGGUUAAAAUCACUGUCCAAAACCUUUGUAGGAACUGUUUCUAAACUUUUGGAGUCAGUUAGACCCAAAAAAAAAGAGAAAUGAAAAAAAAACAUUUGGGGUUUUCAGGCUUCCUGGAGGUAAUACCCUAAUAUUAGGUUUUGGGGCUAGGGUAAGGUUUGAGGUUUUUGGCGUUAGGGUUAAAAUCACUGUCCAAAACCUUUUUAGGAACAUGUUUCAGACCUUUUGGAGUUGGUUACAUACAAAAAAAAUGUAAAAUGAAAAAAAAAAUAUUUGGGGUGUUCGGGCUUCCUGAAGGUAAUACCCGGGUAUUAGGUUAUGGGGCUAUGGUAAGGUUUUACGGUUUUUGACGUUAGGGUGAAAAUAACUUUCCAAAACCUUUGUAGGAACUCUUUUCCAACCUUAUGGAGUUCGUUAGACCAAAAAAAAAGAAAAAUGAAAAAAAAAUAUUUGGGGUGUUCGGGCUUCCUGAAGGUAAUACCCGGGUAUUAGGUUAUGGGGCUUAGGAAAUGUUUAAGGUUUUUGGCGUUAGGGUUAAAAUCACUGUCCAAAAACCUUUGUAGGAACUCUUUUCCAACCUUUUGGAGUUAGGUUGACCAAAAAAAAAAAAAAAAAGAAAAAAAAUAUUUGGGGUGUUCGGGCUUCCUGAAGGUAAUACCCGGGUAUUAGGUUUUGGUGCUAGGGUAAGGUUUGAGGUUUUUGGCAUUAGGGUUAAAAUCACUGUCCAAAACCUUUUUAGGAACACCUUUCAGACCUUUUGGAGUUUGUACACCAAAAAAAAAAUGUAAAAUGAAAAAAAAAUAUUUGUGGUGUUCGGGCUUCCUGAAGGUAAUACCCGGGUAUUAGGUUAUGGGGCUAUGGUAAGGUUUAAGGUUUUUGGCGUUAGGGUUAAAAUCACUGUCCAAAACCUUUGUAGGAACUCUUUUCCAAACACGGAGUCAGUUAGACCAAAAAAAAAUGAAAAAUGAAAUAAAAAAUAUUUGGGGUGUUCAGGCUUCCUGAAGGUAAUACCCGGGUAUUAGGUUAUGG